rnacentral:rRNA from 1 species
GACGAACGCUGGCGGCGUGCCUAAUACAUGCAAGUCAAACGCUUCUUUCCUCCCGAGUGCUUGCACUCAAUUGGAAAGAGGAGUGGCGGACGGGUGAGUAACACGUGGGUAACCUACCCAUCAGAGGGGGAUAACACUUGGAAACAGGUGCUAAUACCGCAUAACAGUUUAUGCCGCAUGGCAUAAGAGUGAAAGGCGCUUUCGGGUCUCGCUGAUGGAUGGACCCGCGGUGCAUUAGCUAGUUGGUGAGGUAACGGCUCACCAAGGCCACGAUGCAUAGCCGACCUGAGAGGGUGAUCGGCCACACUGGGACUGAGACACGGCCCAGACUCCUACGGGAGGCAGCAGUAGGGAAUCUUCGGCAAUGGACGAAAGUCUGACCGAGCAACGCCGCGUGAGUGAAGAAGGUGUUCGGAUCGUAAAACUCUGUUGUUAGAGAAGAACAAGGACGUUAGUAACUGAACGUCCCCUGACGGUAUCUAACCAGAAAGCCACGGCUAACUACGUG